AGGGUAGGUUCUCACGGUCACAGCAGCAACUCUUGCUCCAUUCCCGAUGCGUAGGAUCAUCUCCCCAUCCCUCAGCCUCCUGCUCUUCUCAAGAUCCUGCAUAGAAGUGCACAAAUGAGCACUAGAACCAGAGUCAAGCACCCAACUGGAUGCAGAAGAAACCAUAAGAUUAGACUCUAAAAUGAGCAUACCUCCAGAAGGACCAUCCUUCUUAUUUUUCAGGGUGGCCAGGUAUUGAGGACAGUUC
rnacentral:lncRNA from 1 species